rnacentral:tRNA from 1 species
GCUCCGUUAGUCUAAAGGAUAGGCAUCUGUCUUCUAAACAGAUUAAUAUAGGUUCGAGUCCUAUACGGAGUGCCA